ACACCUAACAUGUUGUAUAUUAAUCUUGAACUUCUGGUCCACAAAAUUCAUUUAUGUUUUUCAAAUCAUUUUGUUUGUGGUAUUUUGUUAUGUAGACUUUAGAAAGCAGUGCAGUAGUUGCAGGAAAGAACUGGGUUGUUGUUAUUGUGAGGAAGAUACAGUACAAGUACUUGAGUCAAAGCAGAGCAAUGUAUGGUUCUCAGGACAAGGCAUGGAGAAUUGGGUUUCUCAUAACUAAAAUGGUUGAAAAUUGAAAUCCUGCUUCUACUGGGGAAAACUGAUUAAUGCAACUUUGGCCUUGGUAUAUUGAGAAUGGACAUUUCUUAUGUGAAUUUGAAGCCAGUGUCUAGGUCUCAUUAUUAAUAUACUAAUGAAAAUAUAGGACAUUAUUAACAGCUUCAGCAUGGGUCUUAGCAGUAACCAUAUAACCAUAUAUAUAUAUAUAUAAACACAGGAUUUCUCUUAAGUAUCUAGAGAUAAUGGUUGUAUCAUAGGGAUCAAUAGACAUAAAAGGCCAGUCUUCAUUUUUAUGGGGCUGCAUAUAUUGGAGAUUAAUUGCAGGUCUAAUAAAGAGUCAAGAAAAUUGCAUUAAUUAAAGUAUUAAGCAUCUUGCUAAUUAAAACGUGUGCCAGGGAGCAAGGUACAUGAGUCACAAUAAUGGAAAACUAUAUUUGAAUACAUAGUAUCCAUGAAAAAGCUGCACAUGGCAGUAUAUUAGUGUAUCCUCUGUGCAUGUGAGGGGCUGAAGGCAGACAGAUUCUUAGGACAUAUUGGCUAGCCAGUAUUGCUCAAUCAAUGAGCUUCAGUUUCAGUAGAAUACUCAGUCUCAAAAACCAAGGAUUCUGAUAGAGGAAGAUAUAUAGAAACCUCCUCCUUCCAUGUGCAUAUAUACCAAUAUGUACAUAUGCAAACACUGUGAGCAGCAGGUAUACAAAACACACACACACACACACACACACACACUUGUACAAACCAAAAGGUUAUAACUCAGACCCAUGUGUAAUUUAAAAGAAUUGAAGCUACUAUUCUAUUACUUUUGUCCUAUGAAAUAAAAUAAUGUUCAUCAUAUUCUAUAAGCAGUUGUAAAAUUAUAAGGCCACUAUUAAAGUAGAAGACCUAUUUAUUUCAGUCACCCUGUUGCAUCUGAGCAUUCCCUCACAUCAGGGCUGUGUUCAGCAACCAUUUUUGGAGUGUUUGUGUAUUUUUUCUCCAGUUAGAAAUGCACAGAGGGCCUAAGUUGUAAAUCGACUUAGCAAAGCCCAUAGAGUAUAUCAAUAACAGAGAAAUGACGGGAAACAUUUGACUUCCAUUCUAAUUUUGAACUCCAAACCUGUGUAGAUAUUUAACCUCAUUUCUCCAGAUGCAUCUAUAUCAGAGUAUUUCAGCAUUCUGCCAAUGGAUGGGCACAGUGAUCUAGUGUGACAAAUCCUUGUUUCCUCUUCCCUUGUGCAGAGGGAAUUUGCCAUCUUCUGUGAUCAUCAGGCUGGCAACAUCAAUAUCUAAGUGUGUUAAUGACACUGACCUUAAUCUGUCACAUCACAAGCAAGUCUUCACAGCAUUAGGGGGUUGCUGCCACAUAAAGGCUUAAAAGUAGAAGGAACCCCAUAAUAAGCUGAUUAAAAAAUAAAUGUUUGAAUUCUUUAAUAAGUCCUCUCAGACAUCUGAUGUGAGGCAGAGUGAAGGGAAACAUCACAGAGUGUAGAGUGUGACAUCUGAUGUGUCAGAGAUUCCCAUUCUCAGACUGUGGUGCAUCCCUCACAGUUAACAGAAGCAAGGCCUGACACUGCCAUGAUCCUCUUUCAAAUGUCCUUUUGUUUUGUUGUUGACCCUAUUCAAUAAAUAAGUGAGAAGGUCAUUGGUGAGCAGGGUGAAAAGUGGGCAUCACUACAAUCAGGUCUCUUCCACUUUGCCCCAUGAAGAAAACCCAUUUCAUGUGUGCACCUGAAUCUUGAGUGCUAGGCACAAAUGUCUAAUUGUCCAAAAGAUCAUGAAAACCAGAUGUUCAGGGUCACUUGAAUUUCACAAGAGAGAAAGUGGACUCUCAGAAUGUCUUCGUCCUUAGGACAUUGGCAAUCAGGACCUAUAAAACUCUUUUAAAACACAAGUUUUCUCUACUCAUUUCAUCUACUAAAACAUGUACUUCACUACCUACUAUGAACUUAGAUUUUUACUUCAGAGAAACAUCUACCUUAAAAUAAGAAGAAAGAUGAAUUAAAGGGUAUUUCAGUACUUUGUCAUUGAUCAUUGUGAUGAAAGAAAACCUGGGCUACUCAAAUCAUGAAUUGUUCCAAGAAAAGCUUCCUUCAAGACAGGUUUUUGACUAGCCUCUAGAAUAUAGUCUCUGACAUCCUGAAAUAUUCUGCUUUGUAAGAGUAUUUUUAUAUGCUCAUACUAUGAUCCUCAGUGUAUCAGUUUGUCCAGAUAAUUUCUGUUACUUGGUGUUAUCAACAAUGAAUAUUUGUUUUUUGCCCUGGAAACCAACAACAAAUGUGUCUGAAGUCAAUUGUGCAACUACCCUGUGCCUGUAUAACUGGUCCUCAGUGAAAACACACCGGUGCUCAGUUGUUAUUGUCUCACAGUGCAAUCAUCAUUCAAAGUAGCGAGGAUAAAUGAAUAUUCUUUGAAGUUCCACAAAGUGAUUAUCCUUAGAAGUGUGCAACUGGUCUCCCUUGGACUUUGAUAUGAGCAUCCUUUCCCCUUGCACCUUUUAAUUUACAUUUUUUCUAGAAAAAAAAAGCCACAUUGUUCAUGAAAAAUGUAGCACAUUUUGAGUUUCUGCAUUUAUUUUAGUAAACCAUUAAGAUGUAGAGUAGUGAUGGGGUCCCUUAACACAGCAAUCCAUUUAUCUGUUUCAUCCACAGCCUGAGAAUGCCUACCCUGACAGAGUCAUUGUGCGAAUUGGAGACUCUAUUUCAUGAAGUCAACCAUCUUCAGGAUAAUGUUGUUGAAGGUUGUCACCUCUGUUGCUGGGAGCAGUGCUUCCAUCUUAAGGUUAUGAUACAUUCUGUAAGUUUUCUUCCAAGUGGUGAUAUCCAUGGGAGGUAUUCCCUUUUCUAAGAUGAAAAGAAGGGGGAAUGGAGAGAGAGAAGGAGAGAAGGAGAAACUGGGAGGAGAUCAGGGAAGGGAAGAUGUGACUGGGAUGUAACAGUACAAGUAAAUUAAGUCGUUAAUUAAUAAUAAAAAAAAAGACUAUGAUACAUUAGAAAGAAAACUAGUAUUCUGACCUCUAAGUAGGCAGCUAUGAGAAAGGAAGAGUGACUCGCACUCUCAGUUGCAACCAUCAGGACAUGUGCUCCAGUUUUAUGUGAGGAAUAAGUGAAUAGAAAGAAAAAAUGCAUGAGGCAAGCUUCUAAUUAAUAGGUGCCUUUCUGUUCAGAGUGAUCUGGAAGAAAGAAGAUUGCUUGGAAAUUGUAGGAAAUAUGCAGUUACUAACGCAGAAACUCACAGUGUUCCUGGAGCUCAAGGAUAUUCACUGACAACUCUACACUGACCCAUUGACAAAUACAGCUUCUCAUUGUUAACUUGAAAACCUCAGGAACUUUGUAGAAAAUGCCGCACUUGUGAAAUAUGAAAUUAGCUCCAAAUAAACUUCAUUGAACUUAAUUAAUAGCACAUAUUUAAUGAAAACCAUCUUUUCCCUGCAGAUCUUGGACUGUUGCUCAAAGCCAUGUCUGAUAUUUAAGAUAAGAUCAAAUCUCUUAUUAUUGUAAAUUGUUUCACAUCAAAUCAAAGCACAGACAAAUGCUCAAAUCUGUCUCUGUCAAG
rnacentral:lncRNA from 1 species